CAAGUCUUGUGCAGUUCUUUCUAAAAACCUAAAAAAUGAGGUAAGGAUAUCAUGUCCAAUUAACAACAUCAAGUGAUUAUUUAAAGAGAGAUGCAGUGUUUAUGAAAUCUAUACCUAGGUAUAGCAGUUCUUGGCAUCCUGCAUUUUCCACGUAAAACUGGCCUCCUAAUAGUCCUGCAAAAACUUUAAUAAUACAAUAUCAACACACAAAAUUACUAACAUGACAGACAACACAAACAAUCCAACCUCAAAAUCAACACACAAAAUUAAUACAAUAACCAUAUAUAUAAUAACAUUGCAUAAAAUCAUAAACUAAAGUAUUUCCACAAAUUGUGAGUACAAUCAAAUUAAAAUCAAGAUCUAUACUUUUCAUGAAUGGGAAACCGAAAAUAGUGAAAAAUUGAAAAGAAGAUGAUGAACAAAUCAGCAAGAAUGAUACAGGAAAAAUAGAAGAAAAACCAGCAAAGAAACAGAAAAACAUAAACCAAACCUAAGAUUGAGAACCCAAA
rnacentral:lncRNA from 1 species